rnacentral:rRNA from 1 species
ACAAGCGGUGGAUGAUGUGGUUUAAUUCGAUGCAACGCGAAAACCUUACCACCUUUGACAUGGCAGGAAUCCUGAAGAGAUUGGGAGUGCUCGAAAGAGAACCUGCACACAGGUGCUGCAUGGCUGUCGUCAGCUCGUGUCGUGAGAUGUUGGGUUAAGUCCCGCAACGAGCGCAACCCUUGCCAUUAGUUGCUACGAAAGGGCACUCUAAUGGGACUGCCGGUGACAAACCGGAGGAAGGUGGGGAUGACGUCAAGUCCUCAUGGCCCUUAUAGGUGGGGCUACACACGUCAUACAAUGGCCGGUACAGAGGGUAGCCAACCCGCGAGGGGGAGCCAAUCCCACAAAGCCGGUCGUAGUCCGGAUCGCAGUCUGCAACUCGACUGCGUGAAGUCGGAAUCGCUAGUAAUCGCGGAUCAGCAUGUCGCGGUGAAUACGUUCCCGGGUCUU